UACGCAGGGGGCUAGCGUUGUUCGGAAUCACUGGGCGUAAAGCGCACGCAGGCGGAUCGAUAAGUCGGGGGUGAAAGCCCGGGGCUCAACCUCGGAAUUGCCUUCGAUACUGUCGGUCUCGAGUCCGGGAGAGGUGAGUGGAAUUCCUAGUGUAGAGGUGAAAUUCGUAGAUAUUAGGAAGAACACCAGUGGCGAAGGCGGCUCGCUGGCCCGGGACUGACGCUCAGGUGCGAAAGCGUGGGGAGCAAACAGG
rnacentral:rRNA from 1 species